rnacentral:rRNA from 1 species
AUGAACGCUGGCGGCGUGCCUAAUACAUGCAAGUCGAGCGAACAGACGAGGAGCUUGCUCCUCUGACGUUAGCGGCGGACGGGUGAGUAACACGUGGAUAACCUACCUAUAAGACUGGGAUAACUUCGGGAAACCGGAGCUAAUACAGGCUAAUAUAUUGAACCGCCUGGUUCAAUAGUGAAAGACGGUUUUGCUGUCACUUAUAGAUGGAUCCGCGCCGCAUUAGCUAGUUGGUAAGGUAACGGCUUACCAAGGCAACGAUGCGUAGCCGACCUGAGAGGGUGAUCGGCCACACUGGAACUGAGACACGGUCCAGACUCCUACGGGAGGCAGCAGUAGGGAAUCUUCCGCAAUGGGCGAAAGCUUGACGGAGCAACGCCGCGUGAGUGAUGAAGGUCUUCGGAUCGUAAAACUCUGUUAUUAGGGAAGAACAAAUGUGUAAGUAACUAUGCACGUCUUGACGGUACCUAAUCAGAAAGCCACGGCUAACUACGUG